GUUUGGGAUGAUUUCUCUGUGUGCACUGUGCAUAUAAAAGCAGCUACAGCCGAGCUCACCCUUCAGAUCUGAUCAGAGGCAAACUGAGCGGGAGGUGAACGUUGUUGCUGGUGUAUCACAGACUCCUUCUGCACUUCAACUCCAUCAGCAGUUUGACUGUCCAACACACUGACUGAUAUUUGGAGAAAGUGAUUUGAAUCCAAAGCAGUAAAUCGCUGCAGCUCUUCAGUUCAGAACCAGAGGACUGGACUGAGCCCCGCCAACAGAGCUUCGUUGGACACAGUCUGGUCUCUCCAUCAUCCACCAAGUCUAUCAACGUACUCAAGGGAAAUUCUAGACUGAAAAAAAGAUGGAAGGAGGAGUUUUGCAAAAACAUUGGACAUCAAAGAGGUUUCUACAGGAAUGAAUGGACUUCUGAUUGAUUUGUAAACAAAU